AAAAACAAAGCUUCUAUUAAGCAUUUUAUUUACAAUAAAAAGAAUCUAUAGGAUGUUUUUA
rnacentral:tRNA from 1 species